GUAAGAAUCUUCCCUUUGGUGGGGAAUACCUUGUCGAAAGACAAGCUAAUACCGCAUAAAAUCCACGGAUAAAAGCGUGUAACUACGCGCCGAUUGAGGAGCUUACUUCCCAUCAGGUAGUUGGUAGGGUAAUGGCCUACCAAGCCUACGACGGGUACCCGAUCUGAGAGGAUGAACGGGCAGAAUGGGACUGAGACACGGCC
rnacentral:rRNA from 1 species